rnacentral:rRNA from 1 species
GCCUAUGACUAAAUCACCCAGGAUGCACCUGAUCUUGUCAUAUAUCGGAAGCUAAGCAGGUUUAAGCCUGGAUAAUGCUUGGAUGGGCAACCACCAUGCCCUACACGUGUUAUAGGGU